rnacentral:lncRNA from 1 species
AUUUCACACCUGGAUGUGCUCACUCAACCAAGAAUAUAGAGAAAGAGCUUCUGCCCUGAGACUCAGAAAAAUAUUCUCCUGUGCUUUGGUUCAGUAUAGAUUUCUAAACCCUGAUCAUUGCUUAAGAGAUAUUCACUGAGGGACAGAGUCUUGCUCUAUUGCCCAGGCUGCAACUGGUGUGAUCUCGGCUCACUACAACCUCUGCCUCCUGGGUUCAAGCGAUUCUCCUGCCUCAAGCUCCCAAGUAGCUGGGAUUACAAGCAUGCACCACCAUGCCUGGCUAAUUUUUGUAUUUUUAGUGGAGACGGGGUUUCGCCACAUUGGCCAGGGUGGUCUUGAACUCCUGACCUCAAGUGAUCCACCUGCCUUGGCCUCCCAAAGUGCUGGGAUUAUAAGCAUGAGCCACUGCACCCAGCCUUAUACUGAACUUUCAAUGGGUUCAAUUCCACUAGGAGCAUAAAGGCCACUGCAUAUGAGUUGUGGAAAGAAGAGAUUAGAAGAAGGAAGAACUUGAGAUGAGUUCCUCCCUUCAACAUUCUGUCUCCUCCUACCUAGCAUCUUCUUUCUUUUAGUCUUUCUAGAAUGUCCAUCUGUUUUUGGCCAUUGCGGAGAGAGAAGCUGAGCUUUAAAGGAGUAGGAGCUUCAAAGGCGUAGGAGCUUCAAAAUUCUUGUUUCUUCAUGUUUGAUCACCCUUCUAAACCUGUCUUCUGUUCCUUCUGCUAUUCUUUUUUCUUAGAGCAUAGGAAAGGGGAGCUUUUAAAUUAAUACUUAAAGCAUGGAAAAAAAGAACUUGAGAAGAAAGUAAAACAAGGGAGAUGAGGCUAGUAAAGUAAGGAAAAUGAAGAGGAAGAGGAGGAAGGGUUAGCUUCUAAAUUCCAAGUCAAAUUGAUAUGGAACAGGCAAGCCGCUUGUCUUACUUAAACUUCAGAAAAGGAUCUGCUGAAACUUGAUAGAAAUGGAAAGGGAAAUCCUUGGGGUGGGGAACCUCCAAACAUUAGUAAUGAUAUUGAACAACUCAAAGUAUUGAGGAAAUCUGCAGGCUACAUGCCUGAAGAUUACCCAUGCAGAUAGACCAAAAGGAUUAGAAUUAUCUGUUGAUAUUAGUAAUAUUUAUUGACAUCUAGCUAGUAUUGGUAAUUUUAAGUUUUAGAUUAAUUUCUUUGGUAAUAGCUAUGAUAUAUUUUAUAGACAAGAAUUAUAUCUAUAGGCUUGCUAUCAUAGGCUCUUUUAAUCAGCAUUAAUUUAGUCUACUGAUUUUUAGCACAUUUGAAUCAUUCACUUAUGCUAGGUAACUCAUUGCAAAAUAAAAAGAUGAUUCCUGUAUGUAUGGCAGCUAUACAUUAAGGAGGAGUCUACCAGAAUAUGAAAAAGUCAGCUGACCUAAAUAGUUGCUGAGACAAAGGAAAACCCACUCCCUUGGAGGAGCAUGACCUUUUCCUGUAAUUCUUCCCACUGCUGUUGUUGAGCUCCUUGGAUCCUGGCUCCUGGACACCAUCAUCAAGAAGACUUUAUGGAUGGGCUGUCCACCCACUGAGAGAAGAGGAGCAUCAGCUACAGUUUCUCUCUAGAUUGCCUUCUUCAUUUUGAGUAAUGACUGUCAGCAGGGUCAGAUUAAACACAAAACAACUGGACAAUUGCUUGGAGGACUAAACUAUAAGGGCACUAACAUGUCAAUAGUAGGCUAACACAUCCAUGGAAAAUAUAUUUACCAGCUCUUCUCUCAGGGAGGAUUCUGUGUGGGGUUGGAAGUAAUGAUUUGUUAAAUUCCUUAGGGGUAGAAAGUAGGGCAUAAUCAGAAUAUAGAGGAAUAUGCUGUUUGACUUCAGGGUUUCUGUUUUUCUUACUAGGAUAUAUAAAACAGGGACUCUAGCUAGAUUGUUUAUGACCACAGAGGGUAGGCUGAGUGCUCCCAUGAUCUUCCUGCUUGGUUCUUGCCCAUACAGAGGUCAGCCUUUCCUCUAAUAAAGAUUGAACAAGUAGUGGUCUGAGGGAG